GACGAACGCUGGCGGCGUGCUUAACACAUGCAAGUCGAACGGAAAGGCCCUGCUUUUGUGGGGUGCUCGAGUGGCGAACGGGUGAGUAACACGUGAGUAACCUGCCCUUGACUUUGGGAGAACUUCAGGAAACUGGGGCUAAUACCGGAUAGGAGCUCCUGCUGCAUGGUGGGGGUUGGAAAGGUUCGGCGGUUGGGGAUGGACUCGCGGCUUAUCAGCUUGUUGGUGGGGUAGUGGCUUACCAAGGCUUUGACGGGUAGCCGGCCUGAGAGGGUGACCGGACACAUUGGGACUGGGAUGCGGCCCAGACUCCUACGGGAGGCAGCAGUGGGGAAUAUUGCACAAUGGGCGGAAGCCUGAUGCAGCAACGCCGCGUGCGGGAUGACGGCCUUCGGGUUGUAAACCGCUUUCGCCUGUGACGAAGCGUGAGUGACGGUAAUGGGUAAAGAAGCACCGGCUAACUACGUG
rnacentral:rRNA from 1 species